rnacentral:rRNA from 1 species
CCUACGGGGGGCAGCAGUCGAGAAUCAUUCACAAUGGGGGAAACCCUGAUGGUGCGACGCCGCGUGGGGGAAUGAAGGUCUUCGGAUUGUAAACCCCUGUCAUGUGGGAGCAAAUUAAAAAGAUAGUACCACAAGAGGAAGAGACGGCUAACUCUGUGCCAGCAGCCGCGGUAAUACAGAGGUCGCAAGCGUUGUUCGGAAUCACUGGGCGUAAGGCGUGCGCAGGCUGUUUCGUAAGUCGUGUGUGAAAGGCGCGGGCUCAACCCGCGGACGGCACAUAAUACUGCGAGACUAGAGUAAUGGAGGGGGAGCCGGAAUUCUCGGUGUAGCAGUGAAAUGCGUAGAUAUCGGGAAGAACACUCGUGGCGGAGGCGGGUUCCUGGACAUUAACUGACGCUGAGGCACGAAGGCCAGGGGAGCGAAAGGGAUUAGAUACCCCAGUAGUU